rnacentral:rRNA from 1 species
ACCCGCUGAAUUUAAGCAUAUCAAUAAGCGGAGGAAAAGAAGCCAACAGGGAUUGCCUUAGUAACGGCGAGUGAAGCGGCAAAAGCUCAAAUUUGAAAUCGGCCCCCAGGUCGAGUUGUAAUUUGUAGAUUGUAUCUUGAGAGCGGAUUAAAGUCUGUUGGAACACAGCGCCUUAGAGGGUGACAGCCCCGUAAAAUCUAUUCUCAUUGUAAGAUACUUUCGAAGAGUCGAGUUGUUUGGGAAUGCAGCUCUAAGUGGGAGGUAAAUUCCUUCUAAAGCUAAAUAUUGACGAGAGACCGAUAGCGAACAAGUACUGUGAAGGAAAGAUGAAAAGCACUUUGAAAAGAGAGUGAAAAAGUACGUGAAAUUGUUAAAAGGGAAGGGUAUUGAAUUAGACUUGGCGCUGUUGUUCAACUGUGUUUCGGCAUAGUGUACUCGGCAGUACUAGGCCAAGGUGGGGUGUUUGGGAGUGAAAAAGAAGUAGGAAGGUAACUCUUCGGAGUGUUAUAGCCUACUUCCAUAGCUCCUCAGGCGCCUCAGGACUGCGCUUCGGCAAGGACCUUGGCAUAAUGAUUCUAUACCGCCCGUCUUGAAACACGGACCAAGGAG